CAAUCCUGAUGAACCUUCAAAAACACCCCCUCAUAUUUUUCAUCUCCCGCUCACAGAAAAUUUUCUUUCCUGAAGAUUAGGUCUCAAUAACAGAAACUUAUCACUCUCAAAAAAAUUCAACAAACUGAGAUCCAAAAUUCCCUCUCUUUUUUCAUCUCCCGCUCCUAAUUUUUACCAAAAUUUAAUUCCAAAAUUAGAAGUUUGCUUAUAAAAGAGGCCUUAACACAAUGGUUUUCAUUGUCUUUGAAAAAGAAGUUUCUUUUGUUAAGGUUUUGGUAGAACAUUAAAAUCAAUUGAAAGGGUUUUCUUUCUUGUUCUUCCAUUUUUAUUUCUUCAGUUGAAUUAAGUUCCUUGGUUUAACUGAUUGUUGGAUGGUCGAGAAUAGUCAAUCUUUGACCGGGACCCAAACUCAAAGCUGGACAAAGUUAGGCUCCAAAUGCAAAGUGAAGUGAGUGGAGAUAGGGAAGUGCAAAGGACUAUGUUGGAGUUGCUGAAUCUGCUUGAUGGUUUCAGCAGUGAUGACCGUAUAAAAGUGAUAGCAGCAACAAACCGAGCUGACGUCCUGGUUCCCGCCCUCAUGCGUUCAGGUCGUUUGGAUCGAAAAAUUGAGUCCCCGUCUGGUUUAUGUGAAGAGGGUGUACGUGUUAAAGACUAGAAUACGCCAUCAAGUUAUGAUCCUGUUAACACACCAGAUGCGGAAACCCCUAAGCUAGGAAAACCAGAAGGAGAAGAUGAUGAGGAGCCACCUCUGAAUGAAGAUGAUGAUGACGACUUGGAUGAUCUGGACCAGAAAGAUGAAGAGCCUAGCAUAAGUCAUUUGGUAUUGGCUCAGAUUGAAAAGGUAAGUAGAACCAAGAGCAAAUGGAAAGUAUUCUUGAGGAUGGCAUGGUGCAUUUGAACGACAGAGAUAUCUUGUUUACAAAGGGUGAUGCUGAUCAGUUUGUGGCUUAUUUUUACAGCAUGUUUCCUCGGGAUCUUGUUGUAAUCAAUGAUUAAAUGGCAUUUUACUUUAAUUUGUUAAAGUAGCACUGAGGAAGAUGUCUAUGGGCAAGGUGCAUCCAAUCUUGUCGCUUGAGAUAACUUUGAGGCAGCCAUUCAACGAAUCCUUGACAUGGGAGGGGGUAGUUGGGACAAGGAUAUUGUAAUCCGUGCUCUACGGGCUGCAUUUAAUCAUCCAGAGGGAGCUGUUGACUAUCUAUACUUAGUAAGUUGGUUCUCUGUCGGAGAACACAAUAUGCAUGAGGCUGGGUCUAACGGCACCCAAGAUUCAAGAUUGGGACUGUUGAUGUGUCGUUUAUUCGAGCACUGUUCUCUUGAUUCCCAGAGAGUGCAGCGUUUUGCUUGGAUCCGAGAUGGAAGUAAUCCGGGCACAUUGUUGGAAACUGCGUAUUAAAAAAGCCUCAAACACAGUUCCUAAAUACGUAUUGUCACUACUUUAUCGAAACUCAAUUAUCAGUACCAUACACCGUUGGAUUCCUAAUUUUAUUGGAGAUCUGAUGGUUGAUAAAUGAUGCGCCGUUUCUAAUUGCGUGCUGCGCAGUUUCAAACUGCGUAUGGACGUAGAAUCUUGGAUCCUCACUGCAGCUGGGCGUUGGUUUUUGGUGACGUGGAUUCAACAAGAAAGUUGAAUCUUGCACCACGAUUAGACUCAGCCUGAGAAUUAGAAUUUCCUUUUCUUCUGUAACCUAUUAUUAGCAUUAUUUACCCGUGGUGCAUUAUUAGCGUUCUAGCAUUAACGUAAGUCAAGCGUGUAUUUACUGUUCGUCUCAUAAUACAUCGUGUUUGUUUCCUUUUCUACCUCAGGGUAUUUUGGAGCAAGCAGUAGUUCCACCUAUGGCCCAACCACCAACAACAGCACCAGCUGUGAAUGCUCCCUCCCAGGCACGGCAACUGACACUACUAGUUCCUUCCGCUGGGCCUAAUGCAAAUCCGUUAGUUUAACAUUAUUAACUGUUGGAUCAGGAUGGUCUAAAACUGCACCAUAUCUGCAACUGCGGGCCACCUGAAAUCCAACUUCUUUUCAUUUGCGGGUAUUGUAUUUUGUAAUUUCAGAUGUGCGUGAGAAAAUUUGUAACACUAACAAGAAGACACAUGUCAUUUUCUUAAUGGCCA